ensembl:lncRNA
AUGAGCUCGGCUUUAGGAAAAGUCGUCUGGCAGAAGUGGACAGGAUGGAGUGGAGAAGGAAUACCGAGGAAGCCAGGAGACGGUCGCUUUGGUGCCACAGUAGUGAGCCUACCUCGCUUUGCAUUUUUGCUGCCAUCUAUCCAGGAUGUGUGCCCCAUGAGAACAGAAACUGCUGUUCAUUCACUCCUUUUUCCACAGUCCUCCUUCCCCCACCUAACAUCUUCCUCAUUCUGCAUAAGAGCAACAAUCAUUGUUAAUUGUAUUUAGCAAACUUCUGAAGUCCUGUUGAGUUUGGAAUGCCUGUGGGACAUCAAAGAAGGAGAGAUCUACCCAGAAGGAAUUACAGUAUUGGUGCUCAGGAGCAAAGCUGGAGCUGGGGCUCAGGAUUUGAGAGUUAUCUGAAGGGGUGUGAUGAUGAAAGCCAUGCACACAGAUGAGAGCCACAGAGAGAACAAGAACCUUGUGGAAUGCUCAUAUUUAAUAAUGAGAGAAAUAGGAACUGGGAGACACUGGAGUGAUCAGAAAAUCAUGAAGACUGCCAAGAGCUGAGGCCUUUCCAAAGGAAUUCUACCUGCUUACGUGUAGUGGAAAAACAACCAAGGCCAUUUUUUUAAAAAUUUCAGAUUUUUCUCCUUGCUCUUGUCCUAUUUGUCCCUGGCUUGUUUUCCCCUCCCCUGACUUUUGCCUUAGUUCCCUUCUAAAUCCCACCUUGCCACAUUCAGCUGCUUUCCCUCUCAGCGCCAUUAUUAAUGUUUUGGACAUAAUAUUCCCAUAGCCUCCUAAGGUGAUAAUUAAAGAGGUACGCAGAAAUGUACAUCCCAGGAUUGUUCAUGAAAGCCAAAAGCUGGAAACAAACUGGUUAUCUAUCCAGAAGUUAAAUGAUUUGUAGAACACCCGGGCCAUCCCAGUAGUUUAGUGGGAAGGGAGGAAAUUUCAUGACGUGUCUCCAGCCAGACACCGUAUUUAAAAUCAGACUCCCCCAUACAUUUAUACAAUUUGAGAAUAUUUCCAAACUUACUUCUCUAGCCUUGCCUCCUAAAAGCAAUAUUACUUGGGGGAACGUGUGAGCUUUCUUUGGUGAAUGUGUGGAUAUGAGCUAGAAUUCUGGUUUUCUGUUGAUAUGGCCUCGUUAGGAAGCUCUUCACUUAUGUUCUGAUUUACCCAUGACAGUCAUGAUCUUUCAUUUUCCACGGUAGGUGGGGCACCUGGGGAGAACCACUGGUGCUCUGCUGAGAGGACAAAGUGACACCUUAAGAGGGACAGCCCAGCCCAUGUUCACUGUUCUCUGAAAGUUCUCUGUGGGAAGAAAAAAUACAAAUCCAGUUGAUACUGGCAAUGUUUUUGUCUUUGACUCAUGGCCGUUGAAGCCUGCCAUUGCUUUAGAGUCUUCAUGAAUUUCUACUGUUGUGAAGGACUCACUGCCGACAGCUCUUACUAAAAAGCAGAACCCAACGGAAGCUUCAUGAAGCCUAGAGUGACAGAAGGAGGCAUGGUGGAUAUCUGGGUUCCCCAUUAUUGUCACGUUGGCUCUGGUGGUGGCUGCCUUUAAGGAAGAAGUAGCUUAAAAUGAAGAAAUGAAGAGUAGUACUGACAACAUUUGCUCCCAUCGGUUUGUGGACUUGUGGAGGAAGAUUCUGGCUUCCAGUGAAUGAUGAGAACAUUCUCCUGGUGGAUGCCUUUAGCUUGACAAAUGACAAAUACAUAUCCCAAGAGUCAUAUUUUGAGCUUAGUGCAACCAUAUGAGUGAAAUAUUUCAGCAAUUUUCUCCCUUUCCUUAAUUGUAUCUGUGUAAAGUUUGGAAUAAAAUAAUGGGCAAACUUUAAUGAAAAACUCA